UACGUAGGGUGCGAGCGUUGUCCGGAAUUACUGGGCGUAAAGAGCUCGUAGGCGGUCUGUCGCGUCGGCUGUGAAAACUCGGGGCUCAACCCCGAGCCUGCAGUCGAUACGGGCAGACUAGAGUGCUGUAGGGGAGACUGGAAUUCCUGGUGUAGCGGUGAAAUGCGCAGAUAUCAGGAGGAACACCGGUGGCGAAGGCGGGUCUCUGGGCCAAAACUGACGCUGAGGAGCGAAAGCGUGGGGAGCGAACAGG
rnacentral:rRNA from 1 species